rnacentral:rRNA from 1 species
UACAGAGGUCUCAAGCGUUGUUCGGAUUCAUUGGGCGUAAAGGGUGCGUAGGCGGCGCGGUAAGUCCGAUGUGAAAUCUCCAGGCUCAACCUGGAAAUGGCAUUGGAUACUAUUUAGCUUGAGGAGUGGAGGGGGGACUGGAAUUCUCGGUGUAGCAGUGAAAUGCGUAGAUAUCGAGAGGAACACCAGUGGCGAAGGCGAGUCCCUGGACAGGUACUGACACUCAACUACGAAAGCGUGGGGAGCAAACAGG